UUGGUUGUUUGGCUAGCGACUGUCUUGCGGGCUGCGACACUCUUGCGCUCAAUCAGCGCUGAUUUGGAGGAGGGUGGCUUCUUGCUACGAGCGCAGUCACAAGAGCGAAUCACCGCCUUUCCAAGUACACCACGUUCCGUCAUUCAGUGCGAUUUAUUUCAAUAGACUUCAACAAUCUGUUCAUUGUUUUAUCGUCCCAAAGGAAGCGCAAGCAAAGUACUAUAUCUCUAAAAUGCUGACUCACUUCACUUUAUUCGGAACACCUUGCUAAUGCCAUUAAUCUACGAUCGUGGUUGUAGUUUGCAGAUUACAACCAAAAUAAACAAUUAUUUGUUAGUGUUCCUUCCCCCACCCACUUAUUUUGCAUUUGAAGGGUUACUGAAAGCAGACAUUUGGGAAAAUUCGUCGUGUGAGCCCAUCCAAUGAAGUACGUCUGACGGACGUUGUGAGAAGGCACCUGUUGUUUUGCAUGCUCAUGACCACCGCCUAGCAAAACUACCGAAUAUGUCAAACAAGACGCCACACUGCCAUCUUGGAUCACUUCCACCCGUAAUGUUUGCAUGCUGGCCAAGGGCAAGUGCUUCCCAUGCAGUCCUGUCACUGAUACCACAUCCAAGAAUUAGGGCUGCUUCUUUCCUCAUCACUUGUCAAGAGUUUCCCUGUAAAACUCGCCACGCUGAGCAUCCUCCAUCACCAACGGCCCUGCCUGACAGAAGCCAUUUUCUGUGAUGUAGACCACUGGGUCACCAAAUGUGUCCUGGAAAGCGAAGGACAAAUGAAUGGUUUCCAUAGUUCAACGCGCAAUAAUGAAGACAUGGUGGCAAACAGGCAACCUAAUCUCGCCGCAGUCUCAUUAGUGAUUUGGAAUUGGUUUGGCUUUGCAGCACGAGAUGAGGGGGGGGGGGGAAACUUCUCACAUGAUAGCCUAGUAAUACUGUACCCUAUCUAUCUCUCUAUCCUCUCUACAGGAUUAUUUUCUUUCCAAAAUUAUGUUUAUGAAAAGUAGGUAACUUACUUGACAAGCACAGUGAAUGCCCCUCCGGGAAUAGCAAAAAAAAUAAAAUAAAAAAUAUCCACAAAUAACGCC